rnacentral:rRNA from 1 species
GACGAACGCUGGCGGCGUGCUUAACACAUGCAAGUCGAACGGAAAGGCCCUGCUUUUGUGGGGUGCUCGAGUGGCGAACGGGUGAGUAACACGUGAGUAACCUGCCCUUGACUUUGGGAUAACUUCAGGAAACUGGGGCUAAUACCGGAUAGGAUCUCCUGCUGCAUGGUGGGGGUUGGAAAGUUUCGGCGGUUGGGGAUGGACUCGCGGCUUAUCAGCUUGUUGGUGGGGUAGUGGCUUACCAAGGCUUUGACGGGUAGCCGGCCUGAGAGGGUGACCGGCCACAGUGGGACUGAGAUACGGCCCAGACGCCUACGGGAGGCAGCAGUGGGGAAUAUUGCACAAUGGGCGGAAGCCUGAUGCAGCAACGCCGCGUGCGGGAUGACGGCCUUCGGGUUGUAAACCGCUUGCGCCUGUGACGAAGCGUGAGUGACGGUAAUGGGUAAAGAAGCACCGGCUAACUACGUG